UACGUAGGGGGCAAGCGUUGUCCGGAAUCAUUGGGCGUAAAGAGCGUGUAGGCGGCCCGGUAAGUCCGCCGUGAAAGUCCAGGGCUCAACCCUGGAAUGCCGGUGGAAACUGCCGGGCUGGAGUCCGGAAGAGGCGAGUGGAAUUCCUGGUGUAGCGGUGAAAUGCGCAGAUAUCGGGAAGAACACCCGUGGCGAAGGCGGUUCUCUGGGACGGUACUGACGCUGAGACGCGAAAGCGUGGGGAGCGAACAGG
rnacentral:rRNA from 1 species